AGAAAGUACAACAAGAUAAAGAAAGAACAAAAAUAAAACGAAGGAGAAGGAAGGACGGAAGGAAGGACAAAAAGACGAAGGAAAGAAGAAAGGACACAAACCAACUCUCAACACCCACCACCACCACUAAAAUUUCCGCACCCUCAGUCACUGACCAACAGUUGUGAGACGUACUGCUCAUAGUUGCUGUCCAUUAUUAGCGUGGUACAUAGACUGUGGCCGCUGAGACUUGCAGAAAUGGGGAAGUGGGCCAGAUAUUCUAAGUGGUUCCAGUGUAGUUGGUUGAAAGAACCACAGUUUGGAAAGUGGCUUGUAGAAGUGAAACAUGAUGAUAAAAAGCUUACUGUAAAGUGUGCAAAGCCGAACUCAGGGCACAUAAAAGUUAUCUGAAAAAACACAGUGAAACAGAAGCACAUUCAAAACAUGAAGAAAAUUCCUAGUGCUAAGCAAAUGAGUGUGAAAAGUCUCUUUCAGAAAGUUGACACAAAUAAGAAAUCUGAGAUUAAAUUGUCAGUUUACGUUGCUUGCCACUCUUCCAUUCAGUCAGUUGACCAUUUAAGUGAGUUAUGGAAUGAUCUGCCGUGUACUUCAAGUACUGAAAAGUUGCGGUUGCACAGAACAAAAUGUAGUGCACUUAUCAAAAAAGUAAUUUCACCAGCUUUACUUGCAGAGCAAGUUAGUGAUCUGAAAAAUUCUCCAUUUUCACUUAUAUUGGAUGAGUCUACUGAUAUCGCAUGCGCAAAACAUUUGUGCGUAUGUGUCAGGUACUACAAUGUAAGGCUUAACAAAGUUGUGUCGCAAUUCCUAGGGCUUAUACCAGUCACAAGUGCAACAGCUGAAGCAAUAUAUCAGCAUGUGAAAGACUACUUUAAUGAAAUUGGAGUCAAUUUAAAUCACUGCUUUGCCAUAGGGACUGAUGGAGCUUCCAGCUUGUGUGGACAACACCACUCAUUCUACACACUUUUGAAAAAGGAUAUUCCAGAUUUAGUGUUAGUGAAGUGUGUCUGCCAUUCUCUGCAUCUGGUAUGCAGCCAUGCUUCAGAGAAAAUGCCAUCAAAUAUAGAUUAUAUGCUAAGAGAAACAUACAACUGGUUUCAUAGAUCAGCAAUCAGACGUGAAGCAUACCUUGACAUAUACAAACUGCUUAAUGAUGGUAAUGAGCCCCUACAGUUAGUACCUCUUUCUGGGACUAGAUGGCUAGCCAGAAGCAACAGUGUGAAAAGAGUUCUGGAUCAGUGGGAUGUUUUGAAGACACAUUUUGAAAUAGCUUCUUCAUCUUGUGGUAAAUAUCUAGCAAGGGAACUUCAUUCAAUGUAUGCUGAUCAUUCAAAUGAGUUGUAUUUCACUUUCUUGAAACCUGUUCUAAGUCAGUUUGAAAAGAUCAACCUUCUCUUUCAAAAAGAAGCAGCAGACCUUUGCAGUCUCUUGAAUGAAUUGGAAAAUCUAACAUUUUCAGUGCUCAGAAGAAUAAUUUAUCCAACGAGUGUAAAACUUGAUGUGGAUAUGAAUUUUAAGUCCAUUUUUCUUCCACUUGAAAAAGUAGACUUUGGGUACGAGUUUACUGUGCUUUUGGAAAACAAGAGGAAGAUGAACUUGAUUUCAGAGGAAAACAAGCAUGCCAUACAAGCUAGAUGUCACGCGUUUCUCGUAAAAGCAUCUGAAGAACUUCUUGCUCGUGUCCCACGUAACAUUGCAACCUUGAAACAGAUAAAAAAUCUAUCACCAGCAAUAUGUUUGACCCACACAAGACCUCCAUUUUCUGAGCUUCCAUUAUCUCUGGCUGAACAAGCAAAACUCCCUGAGAUUGAAAACCAGUGGCGAACAGCCUUACAUACUGAUUGGCAUCAAAUAAUUGAAGGUGACAUACCUCAGGAUGGUUCAGUGUUCUGGUCCAAAUCUGCUACAUUAAAAAAUGCAGGUGGAGAACUCAUUAUGAAAGACCUGGCAGAAUUUGCUCUGAAAGUGUAUAGCCUUCCUAUUAGUAAUGCCUUAGUAGAGCGCGUAUUUUCAAAAGUAACUGCAGUUAAAACUAAAGUGAGAAAUCGUAUGGGUUUAGGACUCUUAACUUCUAUUCUACGAAUCAAAACCUCCCUGAAAGAAAAAGGCAUGUGCUGCAAUACAUUUGAGCCUCCAGUGUCCAUGCUGCAUUAUGAUUCAUCUAUAUAUAAGGAUGAAAAAAUAGAGGAGGACGAGGAAAACCUGCUACAAUCAUUGCAGCUGAUCUAAGAAAAUCUCUGGCCUCCUGCUUUUGGGAACCUUUCUGCUACUUUUGAUGAGUCUCAUCUGGCAACACUGGGCCAUCCCUCGGGCAGUCCCCCCCAAGAUUUAGCCUCGGGUGGGUGUACGCUGCCUUUGGUCCCUUUCCCUGCCUUUGUUCUACACUGUUUGUUCUCGCAAUACAGGAGAAGAGUGUAGGUAAAUAGUUUGUGAUCUCAAGAGAACACAAGAGUCCGUGAAAUGAAGAAGGACUGAGAAAAGUGUUGCCAUGACAGGCCAUGUUUGUCUGCCUGUCUGUCUGUCUGUCUGUCUGUCUGUCUAUCUGCCCAGGUGUUGCCAUGACAGGCCAGGUGAGUGCCCGCUAAUUACCAGGAGAAGAAAAAAGAAGAAAAGAGGAGGAGAAAGAGAAGAUGAAUGAAAUGGAGUCCAUCAUUACAGAAGGAGAGGAAGCAGAGGAAAAGGCAGUCCUAUACUUCUCAAGAAACUACAAGAUUCUUCUCUAUUUCACAUCUGUUAUACCUGAAGCUGCACCGGCUGGGCAUCAGUUGGUUCUCAGGUGAUCUGCUUUACUGAUCACACCCAUCAUCGUAGGGUCCAGGAAAGGCAGUUCUCUCCCUGACAUGUUUAUUGAUGAGGAGAAGAAAAAGAAGAAAAAAGAAGAGGAGGAGGAAGAGAAGAUGAAUAAAAUGGACUCAAUCAUUAGAAAGGGAGAGGGAGCAGAGGAAGCACCACCACCACCACUACUACUACAAGUACUACUAUUAACACCACCACUACUACUACUACUACAGUUUUAAAUAUGCACACAAUGAGAGAGAGAGAGAGAGAGAGAGAGAGAGAGAGAGAGAGAGAGAGAGAGAGAGAGAGAGAGAGAGAGAGAGA